rnacentral:rRNA from 1 species
AUUGAACGCUGGCGGCAUGCUUUACACAUGCAAGUCGAACGGUAGAGGGGGCAACCCCUUGAGAGUGGCGAACGGGUGAGUAAUGCAUCGGAACGUGCCCAGUCGUGGGGGAUAACGCAGCGAAAGCUGUGCUAAUACCGCAUACGAUCUCUGGAUGAAAGCGGGGGACCGAAAGGCCUCGCGCGAUUGGAGCGGCCGAUGUCAGAUUAGGUAGUUGGUGGGGUAAAGGCCUACCAAGCCAACGAUCUGUAGCCGGUCUGAGAGGACGACCAGCCACACUGGAACUGAGACACGGCCCAGACUCCUACGGGAGGCAGCAGUGGGGAAUUUUGGACAAUGGGCGCAAGCCUGCUCCAGCAAUGCCGCGUGCAGGAAGAAGGCCUUCGGGUUGUAAACUGCUUUUGUACGGAACGAAACGGUCUGGGUUAAUACCCUGGGCUAAUGACGGUACCGUAAGAAUAAGCACCGGCUAACUACGUGCCAGCCGCCGCCGUAA